rnacentral:lncRNA from 1 species
AGGAAAGGCUUCCUCAUCAACUUCCAACUUCUCCACGCAUUCGUGGUAGCCAUAUCUUCUUGGUUUUACUUGUCUUCAAGGGCUUUAGAUGGGAUGGACAUGGAUCGGUAAAUUUUUUUUGCAUGAGUGGGACUAAAAUAACCUCAUACCUUUCUUAAAAUUUAUGGCAUUAUUUGGUGGUUUUUUUAAUCAGAUGAUCAUGUGAUUUUCUCUAACACCCACAUGCUCUUUUCCCACCUUUUACUUUCCUAAUUGAAUUUAAUAUAGAUAUUAUACCUUUCAUUUUUAUAUAAGAACCUUCAGUUCUGGACCCCUGCAGUUGGUGUUAUUGGCAUUAUUUAUGUAUUAAGAAUAACAACAAUUUCAGCUGCUAAUCUAUCGUGCGCUCAUUCCCAAAUUAAUUGCUAGAUUAAGCUGCGGUCCACUUAAUGUGGACCUGAUUAAUUUGCAGGUGAAGAGAUGAUGGAGAACCCAUCUUGUUGUAACCCAUGAAUUGUCAUCAUCAUCAUUAGCUUUGAACAGGUUAGGCCUUCAUACAAAUUUAUAAUGAAUUUUAUUUCACUUGUGCGAGGAAAUCAUGGCUGUCUUUUGUCCCUCUAAUAUUAAUAUAUUAGAUAAAUUGCUAAGACCAUGAACACAUACAGGUAUACCUUAUUUGGCUUUUCUUGUGGAAUAUGUAUGUGUCUUUUGAGAUGGAGAGAAAGACAGUUUAUCACCUCAUCAUCAAUUCAAGCUAGAAAGGCAGAAAGUAGAGGCAGCCAAUGGGCCACCUCCACCUCCAACUUAGAGCCUCAAAUGAUUAGAAUCCUCAUAAUUGAGUGGGAUGUUGGUUUUCAGUCACCUUAAGUUUUGUGCGUUAAGUAAAGAACAUUCUUGAUUCAUUGGAUCGGUAACCUUCCAAGGGAGGUGCAUCCCAUAUGAGAGAGAGAGGGGGGUAGAUUCCUGAGCAGCUCUUUAUUUCUCUUUUUGGGUAGUUUACCACCAGGUUCGUUUUGUUGUUUGCCCAACACUAAUAUUUUUAUAGAGCCAAGCACAUGGUGCUGGCUUCUGUUUUAUCAGAUUUCUUGAUGAUUAUUAAGCAUACACGAGGCCAUGUUUCCUAAAGUUGCUUUUGCUUUCCCAUUUCGUUUCAUUUCAAACACACUACUUUAUUCCUUCUAGUGGUUUCGGCUUCAAAAAUAAGAUGACAGAAGAGAACACAAAUUCUUAUUCUGCAACACAUUGCUACUACUUUUACUUCAGAAAGCAAGAUUAGACAUGUGGAUCGAACUGAGUAGACACCUGGUGGAUGCAUGACAAAUCAUGAACAGUUUCAGCUUAGAACAUGUCUUGUUUUAAUCUCUUCCACAGCCUCAGUUCCUCAACUGUGAAGAUGUAUAAAGAUUAUUUUCACCUAAUUUGGUUGGCUUCUUCAAUGCUGUUUUUAUUGUUUUAUCUGCAUAUAUCCUAUAGCUGCUGCCUUUUGUGUGCUUGAAGGUGCGUGUGCACAUAGGGCUCAUUCUUAUUAAUUAAGUUUUCCAAUAUAUAUGUAUAUAGGUAUAGAUGAUUAAAAGUCAUACCUAAAAUAUUAAUCACUAAAUUGAAACUAUUCAAUGGUUGUUUGAUUUAAGAGUUAAGAAUAUAUGUCAACUGAUCGUAGGGGAUAUACUAUAUUUUUACCAUAUGUUUACAACUGGUGUUCAUUGAACCCUCUAUAGAUCUUGUCUCCAUUUUGUUUGAUCUUAUUUUGGCGAAUAUUCUAGGUGUGCCAAGAGAUCAGAGAGGGAGAGAGAGAGAGAGAGAGUUUGCAAGAAGUUUGUUGGCUUCUCAAGUAUCCUCACAACUACCCACAAAUGAAUUUGGUUAAAGUUUGAUGAUAUAAGAAUAAACAACUAUGCUUUUAGCAGAUUAAGCUGACUAUCAAAAACACAAAGCAGCAGGUGCCCUUCAUGUCUGGUGCAACCACUCCUGGCAUUUGACCAGUGAACUUCCCUUGUACUAUUAUUCUUAUUCCCACUUUUCUUCCUUCCAAAUUUCUCCCAACUUUUUCAAUAGGGAAGCUCAUGCCAAGGACCCCUUUUUAACUUUCCCUUCUAAACCAGUUAUAACACCACACAUAAAAGAAUACGCAAUAAUAUUCUAACAUGACCCACAGUGUAAAGUCAUCUAAGAAAAUAACAAAAAAUAUAAUUAAAAAUAAAGAGCGUAAAAGAUGAAAGGAACUGCAUCAAAGUGGAACCCUUCAUGUUCAAAUGAUUCUUUCUUUUGUUUUGCACCACUUACUCUUUCCCUUCUUUUUAGCGCAAAACAAGACCUUCUUGUCUAGGAAGAGAAUCUACCUUUAAGAGUCUCUGUCUUAUACUCAUCCGUGAACCCAGAGCAUGAUCUAUAUGCCCUCCUUCUAAGCCUAAAUAUUGUCAAACAAAAAUGGAAAAACCACCCAUUAAUUCUUGAGGAAAAGCAUAAGGAAAAUACAUUAGAUUAUCGGCAGAUAUCAUGCUUGGUCAUCAUUUGUACAUCCAUUAUUAAUGUCCAUGGGUACAGUAUCCGUGUACAAGCAGCAAACUCAUCAGGAAGAUAGAAUAGAAAAGAUUAUCCUAUCCUGUGAAAACCAAGUAGUACUUGCCCACCUCCUCAUGAGUACCAUCAUGACUUCCACCAAUAUAAUUAAACGUAGUUUUUAUCAAGACCCACUGCGCUUUAUGGGUUAUUUUAACAAAACAUGAUUAUCAAUGUCGUUACCGUUAUCAUCAUCAUUUGAUUAGUUUAAAUGAUAAGAAGGGUAGACAAAAUGGUGGGCUUAAGAAAAGCCAAAAGUGGGCCAGCCCACUUGAAUCUAAGACACUGAUCUAUUAGGUGACAGAAAGGAACAUGUUAAAAGAAGAAGCGGCUGACAAAUGGAACACUUCCACGCGUCACAGUGAUGGUGACUCGGCACCAAUGGAUGGCCACUAACACCUUUUUCUAUUAGUAAUGGAAACAAGUUUGGAGGCUAAGUAUAAAAUUACCUAACAGAACACACUGUCUUUCCAAAUAAUAAAUGCAUGAAAGGUCAUCAAUUAGCUGUGAGGCUUUGUAUCAACUACGGCUGUUGUAUGUGCAUUCAGUCCCCUUUGACAUGUAAGUCCUAGGAUAAGCCUGUUUAGUUCAACCAUGUCUUUCCAAAUGACAAAACCUUCUUUAAUGUAUCGUACAAUUGAGCAAACCACACACAACAGCUCCAUCAUUCAUAGAAAAUAAAUGUUCGAUCACUUUUUCUUAAUUAUCUCAUUGACUUGUUUUUUUCUUGGUAUUUUUAUUUGUCUUGUAUGCCAAGCACCAACACAUGACAAAUGAGAGUACAGUGGAGGCCAAAUAAUAAUAAUUAUUAUAUGUUCUUUAGGGAGGGGCUGCCAAAAGAAAAGAGAGUUUUGGGACCCUGAUGAAGUCAUGUUUCAUUUUUUGUUUUGGGUAUUACAUGCAGGUGUAGGUAGAGAGGCUCAUUGUUGAGGCAUGGCAGAAAAAGAGAGGCUGCAGGACGAUGGAGGCGCGUGGGUUUGGGGUUGUUUAUUCAAUUAUAACGUGCUAGGUAAGUGGCGUGGAUGGCA